UCUUCGACCAAUAUUUUCAAACUCCAUAGCUUUAAAUGGACCGGAACCCCCAUCUCUCUCCCUUUAUAUAUAUUCCUUUUUUUUUGGUUCCCUUCAAUAUACCCCCACCCUCACCAACCUCACUAGCUUUGAUUCUUCAUCAAGGUUUGAUUUUUAUACGUAAAAUUCUAAGAGAAAAAAGAAAUGAGUGGUGGAAAUGGUCCCAAGCUGGAGUUGAAACUGAACCUAUCACCGCCGAGGGUUAACCCAACAGAGGAAUCAUCGACGACGGCGGAGAAUUCUUCUUCCGCAAGUUCAUGUGUGCUGUCAGAGACGAACCAGAUGCAUGAAGUUGACACUUCCACCGAUGCUGCGGCGGAUGUGGCGGCGGCGACACCCAUGAUGCUAGUUGGGUGCCCAAGGUGCCUCAUGUACGUGAUGCUGUCAGAGAAUGAUGACCCUAAAUGCCCUAAGUGCAAGAGCACUGUUUUGCUUGAUUUUCUCCACGCCAUUAAAAAUUAGAAAGAGUUCGAGAUUUAUGGUUUAAUUGUGAUAUCAGCCCCUGUACUUUUUAAUUUUAUAAAUUAAGUCCAUUUUUCUUUUAGUUAAAAGAA